AGUUAAAAAGCUCGUAGUUGGAUUUUGGUUAAGAGGGCGCGGUCGGCCGUUCGGUCUGUACUGCGUUGUCUUGACUUCCUGAUGAGGACAUGCUCUUGGUUAACGCUGAGACAUGGAGUCAUCGUGGUUACUUUGAAAAAAUUAGAGUGUUCAAAGCGGGCUUACGCUUGAAUAUAUUAGCAUGGAAUAACACUAUAGGACUCCUGUCCUAUCUCGUUGGUCUCGGGAUGGGAGUAAUGAUUAAGAGGAACAGUUGGGGGCAUUCGUAUUUCAUUGUCAGAGGUGAAAUUCUUGGAUUUAUGAAAGACGAACUUCUGCGAAAGCAUUUGCCAAGGAUGUUUUCAUUAAUCAAGAACGAAAGUUGGGGGCUCGAAGAUGAUUAGAUACCAUCCUAGUCUCAACCAUAAACGAUGCCGACUAGGGAUUGGUGGAUGUUAAUUGAUGACUUCACCAGCACCUUAUGAGAAAUCAAAGUUUUUGGGUUCCGGGGGGAGUAUGGUCGCAAGGCUGAAACUUAAAGGAAUUGACGGAAGGGCACCACCAGGCGUGGAGCCUGCGGCUUAAUUUGACUCAACACGGGGAAACUUACCAGGUCCAGACAUAAGUAUGAUUGACAGAUUGAGAGCUCUUUCUUGAUUCUAUGGGUGGGUGGUGCAUGGGCCGUUCU
rnacentral:rRNA from 1 species